UACGUAGGGUGCAAGCGUUGUCCGGAAUUAUUGGGCGUAAAGAGCUCGUAGGCGGCUAGUCGCGUCGGCUGUGAAACCUGGGCUCAACCCCGGGCCUGCAGCCGAUACGGGCUAGCUAGAAUUCGGUAGGGGAGACUGGAAUUCCUGGUGUAGCGGUGAAUGACGCAGAUAUCAGGAGGAACACCGGUGGCGAAGGCGGGUCU
rnacentral:rRNA from 1 species